GUAACGCGUAGCCAACCUACCCUAUGGACAGGGAUAACCUCGGGAAACUGAGGAUAAUACCUGAUAGAUCAUAAUGCCUGGAACGGUUUAUGGUCCAAAUGAUUCGUCGCCGUAGGAUGGGACUGCGGCCUAUCAGCUUGUUGGUGAGGUAAUGGCCCACCAAGGCUAUUACAGGUACGGGCUCUGAGAGGAGAAGCCCGGAGAUGGGUACUGAGACACGGACCCAGGCCCUAUGGGGCGCAGCAGGCGAGAAAACUUUGCAAUGUGCGAAAGCACGACAAGGUUAAUCCGAGUGAUUCCUGCUAAAGGAAUCUUUUGUUAGUCGUAAAACCACUGAUGAAUAAGGGGUGGGCAAGUUCUGGUGU
rnacentral:rRNA from 1 species